GAGAAUAGGUAAACUCAUUUUAAGUUAGUUUUUCAACUUCUAUAAUUUGAUCAUGUUUUAUGGGUUUGAUGGAAGAAAGACGGAAGUAUUUAUUUCUUUUUUCUCUUUUCCUGUCAUAUUUGGGUUCAUCUUUAUCUCCUAAAAGGUUCAAACUAGUCUAUUUACAUGAAAACAAAGCUAAAACCAGUAGUUAUCUCUGAUCUUUGACAGAUAAUUUUAUGAGGAAUAUAUUUGUUGAUGGCCAUAAAAUGGAAGAUUUAAGGAAAUAUUUGGCCCACAUCAACUUUUUACAAUGCAAACACUGGUUAAAAGUAGGUUAGUAUUUGGAGUGCCAUAUCACAUCACUGAAUUCCUUUGUCCAUCGAUUAAUUAGUUUAUUACACGUUUGAGGAAAUAUGAGGCCAUCCCACUAAGCAAUGUCUGCCAAUGGUGCAGACUACAGUUACAAGCCUGUUGUUCACCUCUCACUAUAAAAUGCUGAUGUUUCCCUUAAUUUCUAACAUAAGGCAUCCAAUCUCCUUGGUUACUCCUUGCUUGUCCUCGUGAAGCAGCAAGAGAAUCUAGGAUGAAAUCAAGGUUUCUAUGGCUUCUUCUUGUUUUCUCGAUGAUGAUUUGCAUCUUGGCCACACAUAAAAUGACCUUCACGGAGAUGGAAAAUGUUAAGAGCACACUCGGAUACUCUGGGAGUGGUAUUGAUAACCAUCAUAGCAUACCUAGAGAACAAUAUAACAGCCGUGGUAGUGGCAGCACUGGCCAGCAACCCUCAUAUGGGGACGAAGGAAAUAACCAAGGAAGUGGGGGUGGUGGUGUAAAUUAGUAACCGCAUUGGGAUGUUAAGGUGCAUGGUUUUUGUGUGGACAACAUGUUGAUGAAUGUCUGUUGAGAGUUACUUUUUAUAGUUCAAUAAAUAUGUAAUUUGAGAGUGUUAGUAGAUGCAAAAUAUAAACUAUUUCUGACUAAGAUUGAUGUAAAUUGGAGAGCUUGGUAUUUUGUAAUGCAGUAUUACUCUGAAUGAUAGAAGUAGUUUCAUA